ensembl:lncRNA
CCUCAGUGGCCUCACUCCCACCCUCAGGGUCUGAGGGUGUCACCCUCUCUCUGUUCCUGCCGCCCCCAACACGGCCCAACCCUGUCUGGGUGCUCCUGAGCAAGGGCUGCACCAGUUCACAGGCACUGCCCACAAACGACCCUGGGAGCUUUUUCUGGGAACUUUUCCCGUCAUACACGUAACACCACGGGACUGCGUUCAAAGGAGCCUGUUUUUAUCAAGCUCCAGACAUAAGGAAAGAAUUAGCUUCUUAGGAGGCUGCACGCUGCGACAGGGAUCCAGAGAUGAACAUCUGCUUUUGGUGAGGGACGGAGCCCUGGUCCAGCAUCAAGUCAGCCAACCCACCUACCAGGGCAUCUGCCUGGGUCCUCACCAACAGACAUGGGUGCAGAACUGAAGCCAGGCAGCCACCGGGCCAGAUCCCCCACCCAGGUCUGAUAUCUGACUCUGGGCAACCCCAAUCUAAAGACAUUAAUAAAACUUUCUAAAAAAUG